GUUUGAGUCAGAAUGUGAAAAGAAUCUCCGUGGCACGGAAACAAAGCAGAUGCCAGAGGAAAUGAUUGGUGGCAGUGAGAAUCGAUGAUUGUCUCACGUGACAGAUUAUCAAAGGCGAGAGGACUGUAAGUCAGCUAAGGGGAUGACAAGGACGGCGCCUUUCUGUAGGAUGGGAGGGCGCCGGCCUGCUGUCCCAGGACUGGGGGAAACACGCUGGGCACGGACCAGGGAAGACAAGCGGAGCCCGCAGGUGGAGGGACAAUGACCAGGAGCAGCGACGGAGGUGGACGUGGGGAGGUUAACGGAGGGAGGAGCCCAGGCUUGAAUUGGCCACUUUCUCCCUUAAAAUUGAAAAUUGACUCAUGUGAGGGAGGAAGCAGAGGCGUGGGCGGUUAAGGAGAGAGGGGAGGUCAGGACCCACAUGCACAGGCCACAGCGCAGCACCGGGGCACAGCUGCAGCGGGGACCCCUCCCCCAGCCAAGCCCGGCAGUCCGCUCUGGAAGCAAGAAGAAGGACCGUGGGAUUUGUCCAGGGUCUCUCGGAUGCCGGACGUGGUGGUGCAUGCCUGUGUCCCAGAACUAGGGAGCUGAGGAAGGAGGAUCACUUUGAAUCAAAGGCCAGCCUGGUCUACAUGGUGAGUUCAAGGCUAGCCUGAACUACAUAGCGA
rnacentral:lncRNA from 1 species